rfam:Populus trichocarpa scaffold_3_contig_162, whole genome shotgun sequence.
UCUAGAACUCGAUAUAUGGGUUGAACACUGAACAGUGUCUGGGUUGCAUGAUAUAUUCUGAAUUCUCUUUUGUUGCUACAAUUUGAACUUGAAAAAGACCAUUUUGAAUCUUGGACUCUUCAUGAAAGUUUAGGCCUAUGUCUUAGCUUUCCAUC